rnacentral:rRNA from 1 species
UGUUCGGCAUUUAAAGUGGUACGCGAGCUGGGUUUAGAACGUCGUGAGACAGUUCGGUCCCUAUCUGCCGUGGGCGCUGGAGAACUGAGGGGGGCUGCUCCUAGUACGAGAGGACCGGAGUGGACGCAUCACUGGUGUUCGGGUUGUCAUGCCAAUGGCACUGCCCGGUAGCUAAAUGCGGAAGAGAUAAGUGCUGAAAGCAUCUAAGCACGAAACUUGCCCCGAGAUGAGUUCUCCCUGAGACUUUAGGUCUCCUGAAGGAACGUUGAAGACGACGACGUUGAUAGGCCGGGUGUGUAAGCGCAGCGAUGCGUUGAGCUAACCGGUACUAAUGAACCGUGAGGCUUAACCUU